rnacentral:rRNA from 2 species
GAUCUUUAUUUUUAUUUAUUAUAAAUAAAAAAGAAUAAAAUUAUUUAUAUUAAAAUUAAAAAUUUUAUUGGGGUGAUAUUAAAAUUUAAAAAACUUUUAAAAAUUAUAAACAUAAAUAUAUGAAUAAUUGAUCCAAUUUUAUUGAUUAAAAAUUUAAGUUACCUUAGGGAUAACAGCGUAAUUUUUUUUUAGAGUUCAUAUCGACAAAAAAGAUUGC